rnacentral:rRNA from 1 species
GGAGGCAACUUCUGAUCCAGCCAUGCCGCGUGCAGGAAGACGGCCCUAUGGGUUGUAAACUGCUUUUAUACAGGAAGAAUGUUACCUAUGCGUAGGUAUUUGACGGUACUGUAAGAAUAAGGAUCGGCUAACUCCGUGCCAGCAGCCGCGGUAAUACGGAGGAUCCAAGCGUUAUCCGGAAUCAUUGGGUUUAAAGGGUCCGCAGGCGGUUCAUUAAGUCAGAGGUGAAAUCCCACCGCUCAACGGUAGCAUUGCCUUUGAUACUGAUGGACUUGAGUUAUAGUGAAGUAGUUAGAAUGUGUAGUGUAGCGGUGAAAUGCAUAGAUAUUACACAGAAUACCGAUUGCGAAAGCAGAUUACUAACUGUAUGCUGACGCUGAGGGACGAAAGCGUGGGUAGCGAACAGGAUUAGAUACCCUGGUAGUCCACGCCGUAAACGAUGGAUACUAGCUGUUCGGCCAACAAUGGUUGGUUGAGUGGCUAAGCGAAAGUGAUAAGUAUCCCACCUGGGGAGUACGCUCGCAAGAGUGAAACUCAAAGGAAUUGACGGGGGCCCGCACAAGCGGUGGAGCAUGUGGUUUAAUUCGAUGAUACGCGAGGAACCUUACCAGGGCUUAAAUGUAGGUUGCAUAAACCAGAGAUGGUUUUUUCUUCGGACCACCUACAAGGUGCUGCAUGGUUGUCGUCAGCUCGUGCCGUGAGGUGUCAGGUUAAGUCCUAUAACGAGCGCAACCCCUGUUGAUAGUUGCCAGCAAGUAAAGUUGGGUACUCUAACGAGACUGCCGGUGCAAACCGCGAGGAAGGUGGGGAUGACGUCAAAUCAUCACGGCCCUUACGUCCUGGGCUACACACGUGCUACAAUGGCCGGUACAGCGAGCAGCCACUACGCGAGUAGGAGCGAAUCUAUAAAACCGGUCUCAGUUCGGAUCGCAGUCUGCAACUCGACUGCGUGAAGCUGGAAUCGCUAGUAAUCGGAUAUCAGCCAUGAUCCGGUGAAUACGUUCCCGGGCCUUGUACACACCGCCCGUCAAGCCAUGGAAGCUGGGGGUACCUGAAGUCGGUGACCGCAAGGAGCUGCCUAGGGUAAAACUAGUAACUGGGGCUAAGUCGUAACAAGGUAGCCGUACCGGAAGGUGCGGCUGGAACACCUCCUUUCU